rnacentral:rRNA from 1 species
CUGCGGCAGCGACACUCAGGUGUUGUUGGGUAGGGGAGCGUUCUGUAAGCCUGCGAAGGUGGCCUGUGAGGGUUGCUGGAGGUAUCAGAAGUGCGAAUGCUGACAUAAGUAACGAUAAAGCGGGUGAAAAGCCCGCUCGCCGGAAGACCAAGGGUUCCUGUCCAACGUUAAUCGGGGCAGGGUGAGUCGACCCCUAAGGCGAGGCCGAAAGGCGUAGUCGAUGGGAAACGGGUUAAUAUUCCCGUACUUGGUGUUACUGCGAAGGGGGGACGGAGAAGGCUAUGUUGGCCGGGCGACGGUUGUCCCGGUUUAAGCGUGUAGGUGUGUGUUCCAGGUAAAUCCGGUUCACUUUAACACUGAGGCGUGACGACGAGGCACUACGGUGCUGAAGCAACAAAUGCCCUGCUUCCAGGAAAAGCCUCUAAGCAUCAGGUAACAUCAAAUCGUACCCCAAACCGACACAGGUGGUCAGGUAGAGAAUACCAAGGCGCUUGAGAGAACUCGGGUGAAGGAACUAGGCAAAAUGGUGCCGUAACUUCGGGAGAAGGCACGCUGACAUGUAGGUGAAGUGAUUUACUCAUGGAGCUGAAGUCAGUCGAAGAUACCAGCUGGCUGCAACUGUUUAUUAAAAACACAGCACUGUGCAAACACGAAAGUGGACGUAUACGGUGUGACGCCUGCCCGGUGCCGGAAGGUUAAUUGAUGGGGUCAGCGCAAGCGAAGCUCCUGAUCGAAGCCCCGGUAAACGGCGGCCGUAACUAUAACGGUCCUAAGGUAGCGAAAUUCCUUGUCGGGUAAGUUCCGACCUGCACGAAUGGCGUAAUGAUGGCCAGGCUGUCUCCACCCGAGACUCAGUGAAAUUGAACUCGCUGUGAAGAUGCAGUGUACCCGCGGCAAGACGGAAAGACCCCGUGAACCUUUACUAUAGCUUGACACUGAACAUUGAGCCUUGAUGUGUAGGAUAGGUGGGAGGCUUUGAAGUGUGG